GCCAGCACCACCACCACCAGUCGGAAAUGUGCUUGCAGUGAGAGAGGCAAAAAAAUAAAUAUUUUUGGGUCGUUGUUGGUAGAUUUUCUCUUAAUGUGGUGUCAUCCCAGCAGAAACAGCAUCAAAAAAGCUUCAGGACACUGCUGAAUGGAACACUUCUGGCAAGACUUUCCUGCUCCAAAAGACAAAUAAACGAAAAAAUGAUUACCACGGCGGUGUUCUUGGACACAGGAGAGGUUGAUGAGGGGCCUUUAGCGUCUUGCAGAAUGGAUGGAAGCGAACAAAACUCAGCCCUCUAUCCCCUAGGAAUGGAACCUUUCCCGGGAGCCAAAACUCUAAACCCCGGGGAGCUGCUCUGUCAGCCGGUGACGUGCGGGAGGUGUGGUUUUGACCAUGUAUGGAGAGGCCAGCAUCCCCCCUCCUUCUUUGCUUUGGAGGAGAGCAAGUCUUGUUUAGUUGCUGAGUGACUGCU